rnacentral:rRNA from 1 species
AGUGAACGCUGGCGGUAGGCCUAACACAUGCAAGUCGAACGGCAGCACAGUAAGAGCUUGCUCUUACGGGUGGCGAGUGGCGGACGGGUGAGGAAUACAUCGGAAUCUACUUUUUCGUGGGGGAUAACGUAGGGAAACUUACGCUAAUACCGCAUACGACCUACGGGUGAAAGCAGGGGAUCUUCGGACCUUGCGCGAUUGAAUGAGCCGAUGUCGGAUUAGCUAGUUGGCGGGGUAAAGGCCCACCAAGGCGACGAUCCGUAGCUGGUCUGAGAGGAUGAUCAGCCACACUGGAACUGAGACACGGUCCAGACUCCUACGGGAGGCAGCAGUGGGGAAUAUUGGACAAUGGGCGCAAGCCUGAUCCAGCCAUACCGCGUGGGUGAAGAAGGCCUUCGGGUUGUAAAGCCCUUUUGUUGGGAAAGAAAAGCAGCAGGUUAAUACCCCGCUGUUCUGACGGUACCCAAAGAAUAACCACCGGCUAACUUCGUG